AUACUGGCCAGAGACCGAUAGCGCACAAGUAGAGUGAUCGAAAGAUGAAAAGCACUUUGGAAAGAGAGUUAAAAAGCACGUGAAAUUGUUGAAAGGGAAGCGCUUGCAGCCAGACUUGCCUGUAGUUGCUCAUCCGGGUUUUUACCCGGUGCACUCUUCUACGGGCAGGCCAGCAUCAGUUUGGGCGGUUGGAUAAAGGUCUCUGUCAUGUACCUCCUCUCGGGGAGAUCUUAUAGGGGAGACGACAUGCAACCAGCCUGGACUGAGGUCCGCGCAUCUGCUAGGAUGCUGGCGUAAUGGCUGUAAGCGGUCCGUCUUGAAACACGGACC
rnacentral:rRNA from 1 species